GUGCAGCAAUUAUUAUCAUACAAAAAAUCUAACAAAUUAUAUGAUUGAUGCUUCAUUGAGUCUACUAUUAAUAGGGUUGCAUUGUGUUUUUACUAGAAAGCUGUAGCAGCCUAUCCUUGAUUCAAGUCCAGAAUGAAGUAUGAACAAUAUUUUAUCCAAUUUACGUGGAUUGGCUUCCCAUAGAAGGUAUCUGCGAAUGCAUCGCCUCUAUAUUCUAAGAUCACCUUUCAAUUGAUACUUACUAUCUCUAAUAAAAAAUGGUUGGCCAGUGCUAUAAAAGGCACCAGCCUUGCUGCACUACUUAUUCUAACCUACAGUAAGAAGGUACUUCCGUUCCUUUGGUACAUGUUUCUCGCUGGUGUAUAUCCUUUUGUUCCGUCGAACUAGCAAUAGUAUAGCUAUGUCAACGAAAUUGCUGCUGCAAUAUUGUGUUUUAGAUUGCAACACUAUAUUUACAAUAUUUAAGUGUGAUGUGAGAGUGGUUGUUAUUUUCAUCACGGAAAUCUUGAUUAAAGUUGAUGAUCCAGAAUUAAAGAAGCAUAUGAGAUCUGUGUAAUAAAUUGUGUUUUCAUUAAAGAUGUCUUAGUGGAGAUGUAUUCUGAUUUUACUUCACAAUUCUCAAUUCUAUUAAGGCAUAUUUCGUUAACUUUGCAUUGCUUGCAUAAUUUUAAGGAAACCAAAGCAACCAUGUCACUAUUUCUCGCAGGGGGUGGGGCCGGCGAAGGUGGAGCUACUGGCGUGCAAAAGGGCAGCCCAACUGGCGGAUGAUGUCAAUGCAGCACAUAUACACAUUAAGAUGGAUUGCAAGGAGAUAGUUCGGAAGCUUCAGAAUCUAUCUUGGCAAGGGCCUUUGGUUCAGGAUGUCAAGCAUCUAAUGGAGGCACGCCAAAGCUGGAAGGUGAGCUGGGUUAGGAGAUCAGCUAAUGUGGCGGAUCACAGAUUAGCUAGGGAAGGGGUUAUGAAUAAUUUGUGUAAGGUAUGGCUGCAUCAACCACCUGAUUGUAUCCACGACGUUAUUGCGGCAGAAAUUCCUGCCUUCUAUGAAUAAAUAGGAAACGUAUUGAACCUCAAAAAAGAAAAGUUGAAGGGAGUCCAGUUGUCCUCAAGAGUUAAGAAUUGAUUUUCUAAAAGGAGUUCCUUGUCAGUAACGGUUUCUUUCAUGCACUAUUGUUGUUUAAACUAUGCUCAUAAAAGCCAAAUAAGAAUCGACGAAAUGAAUAGGGGAG
rnacentral:lncRNA from 1 species